rnacentral:rRNA from 1 species
AUUGAACGCUGGCGGCAGGCCUAACACAUGCAAGUCGAGCGCGCGGCGGACGGGUGUGUAAUGUCUGUGAAACUCCCCGAUGGAGGGGGAUAACUACUGGAAACGGUAGCUCAUACCCCAUACCCCAAGAUGUGCCCAGAUGGGAUUAGCUAGUAGGUGGGGUAACGGCUCACCGAGGCGACGAUCCCUAGCUGGUCUGAGAGGAUGACCAGCCACACUGGAACUGAGACACGGUCCAGACUCCUACGGGAGGCAGCAGUGGGGAAUAUUGCACAAUGGGCGCAAGCCUGAUGCAGCCAUGCCGCGUGUAUGAAGAAGGCCUUCGGGUUGUAAAGCACUUUCAGCGGGGAGGCGUUACCCGCAGAAGAAGCACCGGCUAACUCCGUGCCAGCAGCCGCGGUAAUUC